rnacentral:rRNA from 1 species
AUUGAACGCUGGCGGCAGGCCUAACACAUGCAAGUCGAGCGGAUGAAGGGGGCUUGCUCCUGGAUUCAGCGGCGGACGGGUGAGUAAUGCCUAGGAAUCUGCCUGGUAGUGGGGGAUAACGUCCGUAAACGGGCGCUAAUACCGCAUACGUCCUGAGGGAGAAAGUGGGGGAUCUUCGGACCUCACGCUAUCAGAUGAGCCUAGGUCGGAUUAGCUAGUUGGUGGGGUAAAGGCCUACCAAGGCGACGAUCCGUAACUGGUCUGAGAGGAUGAUCAGUCACACUGGAACUGAGACACGGUCCAGACUCCUACGGGAGGCAGCAGUGGGGAAUAUUGGACAAUGGGCGAAAGCCUGAUCCAGCCAUGCCGCGUGUGUGAAGAAGGUCUUCGGAUUGUAAAGCACUUUAAGUUGGGAGGAAGGGCAGUAAGUUAAUACCUUGCUGUUUUGACGUUACCAACAGAAUAAGCACCGGCUAACUUCGUG